AAAAAUAGGGGGAUUCGGCUCAUAGCGUAUAUUAAAGUUGUUGCAGUUAAAAAGCUCGUAGUUGAAUUUCGGGAUUUGUCAGUUGGUCGGGCUUCACUGUCCGUACUGGCUUGAUGGAUUCUUACCUUCUGAAUAACCAGCAUGCUAUUAAGUUAGUGCGUUGGGGAAGCAGAUCUAUUACCUUGAAAAAAUUAGAGUGCUUAAAGCGGGCUUGUGCUUGAAUAGAUUAGCAUGGAAUAAUAAAAUAGGACGGCAUGGUUCUAUUUUGUUGGUUUCUAGGAUCACCGUAAUGAUUAAUAGGGAUAGUUGGGGGCAUUAGUAUUCAAUUGUCAGAGGUGAAAUUCUUGGAUUUAUUGAAGACUAACUUCUGCGAAAGCAUUUGCCAAGGAUGUUUUCAUUAAUCAAGAACGAAAGUUAGGGGAUCGAAGACGAUCAGAUACCGUCGUAGUCUUAACCAUAAACUAUGCCGACUAGGAAUCGGACGAUGUUAAUUUUAUAAUGACUCGUUCGGCGCCUAACCGGGAAACAA
rnacentral:rRNA from 1 species